rnacentral:lncRNA from 1 species
CAUUUCUUGGCCUUCUAUAGCCUCUUUAUGGAAAAUAGAGGAUCUCUGCUGUAACGUGACAUUUUCUAAGGCUCCCAUAGGCUCUCAGAAGGCGCCAGAACGGGGAAUGAUGACUCUGCAGUCCCUGGGCGAAAAACAGUAGGGCUUUUGGAAAGUGGUCGAUCUGAGAACAAUGACACGGGUGCAGGCGUGCAUGUGAAGACUCCAUUUUCUAUUUUCAGUGUUUGAACGAAAACAAGGUGUCCCGGUCGGAAUAUUAUCGCUAUUUUACGAGAAAAAUCGCAUAAAAAUUGAUUUUAAACAGCGUUUGACAUGCUUCGAAGUACAGUAAUGGAAUAUUUUGAAUUUUUUGUCACGAUAUGCGCCGGCGCGUCACCCUUCGGAUAGUGUCUUGAACGCAAGAACAAACGCAGCUAUUUGGAUAUAACUAUGGAUUAUUUGGAACCAAAACAACAUUGGGUGUUGAAGUAGAAGUCCAGGGAGUGCAUUCUGACGAAGAACAGCAAAGGCUAUGCUGCAGCAAAUGGAGGCCCACCUGUCACAAGAAAAAAAAGUUACCAUGAUGAGAAGAUAGGUCUACAUGCACUGUGGACUGCGUUCCAUACUGAGAUGGGCUGUAUGUCCACACCCUGAGCAUUGAUGCAUCAUGCAGAGGCUGUAGAGAAGCCAGAUAUAGACAUUGUAUGUCAUUCAACAGUUCCAUUUCACGUCAUGUUGUUCAUAUAAAUAAGUUUAGGACAACAUUUUUGCUUCAAAAUGGAAAUGCAUCCCGGUGCGUCUUGCUCUGAAAAAUGGAAAAGAGAGCUUCAAAUGCAGAUGUAUCUAGAAACUCGAAGCAAAUGAGAAAACAAAACACAUUAAAAGUACAAUCUUCUAAAAUGGCUUCUAAAAUCAGGUCAAAACCCAGUGCAUUUGUUCUCUGGUGAUCUCAGUUGUGCCUUGAGUUCACAUAAACAAUGUGUAUUGACUGAAAAGUCUAGGGUUUUGUCCAAAAUGGCAUCCUAUUCCCUUUGUAUUGCACUACUUUUGACCAGAGCCCUAGUGUAGUGCACAAAAAUAGUGCACUAUAUUGACAAUAGGGUGGUAUUUGGGAACAUGACAGAGGGUGUCGCCUGGACUCAUAACAGGCAGGUGGUAGAUUGGUCAUUGUAGCAACCACAGGCAUAGUUCCAUGCUGCCUCGUAAUCACCCUCUCUCUCCACCGUGAUACUGACUGCCUGCAGGACAACAUGCUGGUCUUACUAUAGGUUGUUAUCAAUAACGUCAUAUUCAAACAUUCCAUUCCCAGCUAGGGGGCAAGCAGAGCCCGCCCCAAUGCAUUAUAGUGCAGAAACACAGCUGGAUUACACUCCAUCUUUCAAUAUUGGCCAUCAUUUAAUUGGCUAUUUGAGCAAUAUAAAAUAAAACUGUACUUUAC